rnacentral:sRNA from 1 species
UAUGACUACGAAAAUUUUUGUUUACAUA